GUUAUUGUAGCUUAUACAAAGCAUGGCACUGAAGUUGCCAAGAUGGAUAACUAACAUAUCCCAAAAACA
rnacentral:tRNA from 1 species